UACGGAGGAGGCAAGCGUUAUCCGGAAUUAUUGGGCGUAAAGCGUCCGCAGGUGGCACCUCAAGUCUGCUGUCAAAGACCGGGGCUUAACCCCAGAAAGGCAGUGGAAACUGAAGUGCUAGAGUGCAGUAGGGGUAGAGGGAAUUCCCGGUGUAGCGGUGAAAUGCGUAGAGAUCGGGAAGAACAUCGGUGGCGAAGGCGGGUCUCUGGGCCGGAACUGACGCUAAGGAGCGAAAGCGUGGGGAGCGAACAGG
rnacentral:rRNA from 1 species